AUAUAUAUAUAUAUAUAUAUAGAGUUGAUCUAGGAUACUUUUACAAGUAUCAUCCCCAUGUUGCUAUCACGUUUUUAGCCAUUGAAUCUACUUUUUGAUUGCAAAUAGCCCUUGGAUCAAACACUAUUUCACCUACCACCACUUAUCACCACCUACCACCAUCAUCUCAACCUCACAUCUCUCCAUCCAAGGGCUAAAAACACACAAGUAUCACUUGGGUGAUACUUGUAAAAAUAUUCUAGCCCUACUAAUAUAUAUAUAUAUAUAUAUAUAUAUAUAUAUAUAUAUAUAUAUAUAUAUAUAUAUAGAACCAGGCUACUAUACUAUCGGUAGCACGGAGCGCUCCGUGCUACCAAGUUGUUUUCGAUGAUGCGGCUUCCAAAUCGACGAUCGGCUCCGUUAGACUUGAUCUACACUAUUGAAAGUAUUUAGAAACUAAAUUUCAUAAUUUUUCGAUAUCAUUUACCUAUCAAACAAGUAGUUUAAAAUUGAACGGCUAAAAAUAAAAAUCUCAUGAAAAAUAAUGAUAAAAGAUUUAAAUUGAAGAUCAGAUAUACUGAUCUUAUUCUAAAUAGUGAAAAGAAUUUUCUAUAAAAUUUUCAUCGCAUUUGGAGUGUUUUACACCGUUAAACUCACAAACACACCACAUCGGCCAUUAAAAUUGUCAAUUUUGAGAUAUUUUGAUCACUAGUCAAAUGAUGUCGAAAAAAU
rnacentral:lncRNA from 1 species